AUGAUGCAGUUCACCCAUGCUGCAGUGACUGCACCGCCUCUCUACCCUAAUGGGCACCACGGGCUAGGGCUAGGGCUCUUCCUUGACGUCGGCGCGCCGAGGGCACGCCCGUGGCCGGCUGCCGGGAGCUUGUUCCCGACGCUGCCGCCCUCCUCCAAGAUCUCCCUGGGGAACCUCAACAGCGCCGGCUGCAUGGAGCAGCUUCUGGUGCACUGCGCCAACGCCAUCGAGGCCAACGACGCCACGCUCACGCAGCAGAUCCUCUGGGUGCUCAACAACAUCGCCCCCGCCGACGGGGACUCCAACCAGCGGCUCACCGCGGCGUUCCUCUGCGCGCUCGUCGCGCGCGCUUCCAGGACGGGGGCCUGCAAGGCGGUGACCGCGGCCGUGGCCGCCGCGGUCGAGUCGGCCGCGCUCCACCUGCACCGCUUCACGGCCGUCGAGCUCGCCAGCUUCGUCGACCUCACGCCGUGGCACCGGUUCGGCUACAUGGCCGCCAACCACGCCAUCCUUGAGGCCGUGGAGGGCUUCUCCGUCGUGCACGUCGUCGACCUCAGCACGACGCACUGCAUGCAGAUGCCGACCCUCAUCGACAUGCUCGCCAGCCGCGCCGAGGGGCCCCCGAUACUCCGGCUCACCGUCGCUGAUGUCGGGUGCAGCGGGCCACCGCCGGCGCUCGACAUGUCCUACGACGAGCUCGGCGCGAAGCUUGUCAACUUCGCGCGAUCCCGCAACGUGACAAUGGACUUCCGGAUGGUGCCCACCUCGCCGGCCGACGCCUUGACUUCCUUAGUCGACCAGCUCCGGGUGCAGCAGCUGGUCUCGGACGGCACCGAGGCGCUCAUCGUCAACUGCCACAUGCUGCUGCACACCGUGCCCGACGAGACGGCCGGGUCGGUGAGCCUGACACAGUCGGUCUCGCUCCGGACCAUGCUCCUCAAGUCCAUCCGAACCCUCGACCCAACGCUGGUCGUCGUGGCCGAAGAGGAUGCCGACUUCACGGCGGGGGACGUGGUGGGGAGGCUCCGGGCGGCGUUCAACUUCCUGUGGAUCCCGUACGACGCCGUGGACACCUUCCUGCCCAAGGGGAGCGAGCAGCGGCGGUGGUACGAGGCGGAGGUCGGGUGGAAGGUGGAGAACGUUCUGGCGCAGGAAGGGGUGGACAGGGUGGAGCGGCAGGAGGACCGGGCGAGGUGGGGGCAAAGGAUGCGCGGCGCGGGGUUCCGGGCGGUGGCGUUCGGCGAGGAGGCGGCCGGGGAGAUAAGGACAAUGUUGAACGAGCACGCGGCCGGGUGGGGGAUGAAGCGGGAGGACGACGACCUCAUGCUCACGUGGAAGGGGCACAACGUUGUUUUCGCCUCAGCGUGGGCACCGUCGUGA
rnacentral:rRNA from 1 species